CGCUCACCUGUUCCAGCCGCCGCAGCCUCGGCGGCCGCCGCGCGCCGGCCCAGCCCCUGGCCGCCCCCCUCCGCGGAGCGCGCGUCGCCGCGGGGGCAGCUCCCCUAGCGCCUUCUCCCCAGCCCGCCCCAGCCCGCUCUGCUCCACGCCCUUCUCGGCCGGCGCCCACACCGCCCCCCUGCUGGGUCGGGGCGGCCUGCCUUGGGCCCCUCACUCAUACUCGGGAGCCCCCUUGCCUUUCACACCCCCCGUUGAAUGUCCCUCAGGCCUAACCCCACGGGGUGUCUAGAUCCAGGUCUCCUCACUCUGGCUUCCUCACACCAAGGCUUGGCUUCCCCUGCUGAGUUCCUACCGGCGGUCUCUCCGUGGCGUAAGAACUCUCUGGUGGACUCAGACCGAGGCCCAGGGCUCUCUGAGAGUCAGGAGGGGAGGCUGUCCCAGGAAACCAGAGACAGACGUCAGCGUAACCCUAGAGCCCAAAACUCCUUUCUUUAAAUGCAAGGCAUCUUUCUGCCGCGGCUCUGAAGAGGUGUCUGUCCUGCCAGGGUCUUCGGGAGGUCACUGCCUGCCCCAGACCUCGGGGACACACGUUCUAGCUCCAACGCAUGAUAUGUCUGUGCUUCUGACUUAUCUGUUUUUUCCCCAGUGCUUCCUGGGACUUUUUCUUUUUUCCCAAGAUCCAAUAUAAGAAGAUUUUUAAGAACUCAGUUUCAAUGGAUCAUAUCUUAAAAGUUCCUUUAGAAGUUACUAACUUGGAGCUCGAGUUGCAUGUUUCCAGGGGAGCAAUAUAAUCGUGAGUUACCUUCCCAGGCCAGUCUAGAAAAUGCUAGCAGAACCCAUGACAAAGCUGAGCCGCCCUGAGUCCUCCUGGUCCUUGAACCCCUCAGGUUAUCCACCCACCAUUUUUCAUAGACCUCUUUAAGUGUAUUAUGCUUCCCAUGCACCUCGCCUUUCAGCUCUUUCCCCUCUCAAUAACAAAACAGAAGAAAACUCACAAAUCGGUUAAUUCCUAAAGGUUAACCCAACACAGCAAGGUGUCAGGAGGAAAGAAAUCUUACUGAACAGAUUCCAACUGAUGUGGGAAUCAUCACUGAACGUUCUCUAACCCUUCCAGAAUGACUCAUACUUUUCACUGAGAAUGACUGAAAGCCCAGAUGAAUGCCUGAAAACCAGGGUCCUAGAAUGAAAUGAAAACAUUUGGUUUUUUGAGGAGGGUAAGUCACUGCAGGCAGACAUGUUAACAUAGUGAAACUGGUGACUGUCAAGGACUUACUGGCCUAGAAACCUUAUCUUAUACCUCAGACAGCUCUGCAUAUCUGGGCUCUGAUUAGUAAUGCUGACACUCCAAGGUAAGCCUUACUUAUCUCAUUUCUUAGGUCUAGGUGGGACUUGGGAUUCCUGCACUCUAAUCCCUAACACUUACCAUUAGGACAGAUCAUACUGUCCUGGGACUCCUCUUUUAAAGAAGGGCCACUGGAAAGGGCUGUAAAGACAUCCAGCUUCCUCAUUUUUUAAGUUUGACAUUGGAAGCUCAGAGUUUAGCAAUGAUGGACCCAAGGCCACAGAGUGUGUUUGUGGAAAGCUGCAACUGAAUAAUUAUGCCUACCAGUCCAACCUAAAUAUUCCAGAAAUUACACCUGGAGCUCCCCUCCCUAUUUUGUUUUAAACCAGGUUUUUUUUUUUUGCUUAGCUCUGUCCCAUGUUCUAUUUCCUCCUUUUGUCCUAAACUAUUGACUUCCAUUUCCCAUUCAGCCAAAACUGGGAUCCUCUUGUGUGCCCCUUUCCUGUGGGAUGUACCUUUUCCUACACAAGUUUGGUGGACUCAGGUUUGCAAGAGCAGGUCACACAACCUUCAACUCCACCAAGCUGAGGAUCUGGCAGCAGGCAGCUGCAAGUGGCAGACAGAGCUGUGCUCAUCCAGUCAUUGGAAAAAGGUUUUUGUGCACCUGCUAGGUCCCAGGCACUGCUGUAGGUGCUGGGAUACGGGAGCAGAUAAACUAGCACAGAUGCGCCCUGUGAAGCUGACAUUGUAGUGGGUGAUAGGAUGGUGGUGGAGAAAGACUACAAACACAUAAGACAGUUUGUUGGAGAAGUAAAUGCUAAGAAGAGAAGAAUGGAGGACGGGGUCAAUAGUGACUAGGGGCCAGGGACAAUGGGAGAGGUGGCGGUUAAGGAAAGCUUUUGUGAGGAUACAAGGCGAAUAGAUUUACGUGCGUACAAGGUGAAGAGGGAGAAAGAGGAAACAGCUCCUUGAUACCUGUGGGAAAAUUAGAGAACAGAAGGAGAGAGGAGCAGGAGGGGUCCUUGAAAUGCAACAUUCCUAAGGUGAGUCCUAGCCACAGAAAUACACGUGGGACUGAACGCUCCUUGAGGACCUGCUUUUGUAAAGAACUGAGAAAAUGCUGGAAGCAGGCCCCCCUCCCCACCAAGGCUGCAAAGAUGAUUAAGAGAGGAAGAUAGACAUAGGCAUGUUCACAAAGAGUACACAGGGAGAACGGGGCAGCCACAGUGCUGAGUGUGAAGCAGCCAGCCUCCGGGCUCCAAAUCACGAUGCUGGGUUAAGGAUUCUCAUUUUAAAGAUGAAGCACUGAGACCAGGGAUGGCACAUGAACAGAAGGCUGGGCAGGGUCUUUCUCCUCUGGUGUUCCCAAUUUGGCUAACAGGGGCAUCAUCAAUUCUAAAAAGGUUAGCAAACACCCUCUGUUGCAUGUACCUGGGCGGGUCCUUGGUAAACUAGAUAGACCACCAGCCAGACUUGGAGCCAGCCAGCCAGUCAGGUGAGAAUUAUCUGGUUGCUCACUGCGUUCAGAUUGCUGUGGUAAGGACUUUUUCAGGAGCAAGACUAGCCCAAGGCAGAAUUUAAAGUAUUUAGGUGUUUAUCUUCCACCUUCUCUUAUGAGUUGUACUCCCUCUACUUCCCUUCCCUAACAACCUGCUCUUCAAAUAAAUCUUAUACCAGUCUUUUAAUAUCUGUGAUGUCAAUGUAAGUCAUUUUUCCUGAGGUAAUACACAUUUGACUCUUCUUCAGAACUGUAGAAUGACAGGUUAGAUUCCAUAGUAAACACAUGUUGAAAUCCUAAUAGGCAAGAUAUCCUCCCACAUAUGGGGAACUUGAGCAAGUUGGCCUAAAUAGGCAUAUGGGAUGCCUUGGUGCAAGGGGGAGGAGGAAUAAGAAACCAGAGUUUCUUCCAUAGGCAUCUUAAAAAUAAUUUUAAAUGAAAAAGACAUCAAAUUUCAAGUAACUAUUUCAGGAUCUUGCUAGUUUCCCCUUCAAAUUCCAAAAGAGGUUUGUUAUUAAAUUACUUUCAAACCCUUUGGAAUCAGAGGUCUGUCUAUAUGUGAGGGAAACUCUAACUCUUUUUUACACGUCCACCUUCUUUUUUUUGAAUCAUUCUCAUAUACACUCCCCUGAUUCAUGAGAAACUUCCUCUUGUACUCUGCCACACACCCUGAAAGCCCACUUUCGUUCAUCACCCAAUUUACUCCCUCGUGCUGUAACAGUUUCCCCUAGAUAAUCUCCCUGUUAACUCUCUGCACUGAACUCUCAGUCCAUCGCUGUGGCUAUGUGAAGACCCUCUUUGAUCCUAUAUUGAUUUCCCAUCUAUCCCUUCUAUUCCCUAACUCUAGCUUAAACUUGGGCUAUUUCUCAAAUACCACAUCUCCACCCUACUGCACUACCUGGCUACAGCGUGAUCUUCUUUGCUCCAGAAAUCUCUCAAAGGUUCUAGUGACAUUUUUUAUGUUUCUAGAUCAUGGAAUGCUUAUGGUUUUCCAUUGUUUAUCAUUUAGCAAACUCCAACACUUUCUUCAAAUUACUUUCUGUCCCUUCCCCAAAACCCCUAACAAUCUAGACACUUGGAAUGGCAUAAACUCUGUCUCAUUUUCCAUUGUAAUGCAUUCCUCUAUUACCAUCAGUCAGGCAUGAGUAUCUUUAAGGAAAGAAACUUCAACGUAUUCCGCCCCACACAGGGUUUGUAAUUUGAAACUAGUCCCUUUAGUUCUAUACUUAAGUUGAGCUUGAAAUUUUUAUUCUAAUUGGGUAGAUACAUAGCAAGGAUGAAUACCCAAUUAGUAAAUAAUAUCGGGUGAUUUUCAGGUUUUAGAAUCUAAACUUCAGAUGUUAAGCUAAAGAAAUACUCUCUUGAACUUGUGGAGGACAAACCAAGUUUCAUGGAAGAGGUAGGUUUUGAGUGAUUUAAGGAAGUGAGGCUUUAGAGAAUGAGGUAAGACAGGACAAACAUUCCUAGCAGGGAAAACAACUGGGCCAGAGGCAGGAACAAAAGGAUGUGCAGAUUAUCUUCAUUGAGCAAGGGAUUGAUCAGCUCAGAUGGAUUCGGGAAAGAAAUAAGACAGGGAUCUGAUGAAAAAAUAGUAUUAAUACCAGAAUGCUUGGCUGCAAAUGCUAGACUCCCAACUGACACUAAAGACACCAAAUGGGAAGCACAUGAGUUCACAUAACCAACCUGCCAACGGCAAGAGAAAGGCUAGCCUCAUGCACAGCCGGAGUGGAUACUAGCAUACCUCAGUCUUUCAGACCGCACAAGGCCCAACCAUGGCCACGGGCAGCUCCAAGAUUCACGGUGCCCAGCUCAGCUUCUCUUCAUCUCACUUAAGAAAAAACAUCCAAAGGAAGAAAGAGCUCAGAUGGAUGGCCCAGCCUGAAUCACAUGUCCACACUGGUAGCCAUAGAUACCAUGAUGGGCAGCCACCAAAAUAGCCCCAUGGCUGGAAUGGGGAUGAUAAGCAAUUCACCAAAAGAAAGGGAUGUAUUUACCAGAAGCAGGCAGCAAAGAGGGCUGGGCCAAACCAAGUGAUAAGGACCCCUGCUCUAGUGUAAACAAGGACUGUUGCUGAACUGUCAAUGAGGAUGCUUUAAUCUUUAAAAUAAAAAUAAUUUUAAAUUGUCUUAUUAAAAAAAAAGUGUGGCCAAAGGCGGCGGGAGCGUUGGGCGUGUGGGCUGGGCGACCCGGUGGGGACUGACUCCCGCCUGGGUGCCUCGGCGUUUGUUGGAAGCCAAUGAGCUGGUCCAGGAACAACUAAAUGACGUUUUUCACCAGAAUGACCCCAGGAGCAUAAAACGUGAAAAAUAAAAUUAA